rnacentral:tRNA from 1 species
GAGGGUAGAUCUCAGUGGUAGAGCACAUGCUUGGCGUGCACAAGGUCCUGGGUUCAAUCCCCAGUGUCCCCG